rnacentral:rRNA from 1 species
UGACCUCGGAUCAGGUGAG